rnacentral:rRNA from 1 species
GGGGAAUAUUGCACAAUGGGCGCAAGCCUGAUGCAGCCAUGCCGCGUGUAUGAAGAAGGCCUUCGGGUUGUAAAGUACUUUCAGCGAGGAGGAAGGUGUUGAGGUUAAUAACCUUAGCAAUUGACGUUACUCGCAGAAGAAGCACCGGCUAACUCCGUGCCAGCAGCCGCGGUAAUACGGAGGGUGCAAGCGUUAAUCGGAAUUACUGGGCGUAAAGCGCACGCAGGCGGUUUGUUAAGUCAGAUGUGAAAUCCCCGGGCUCAACCUGGGAACUGCAUUUGAAACUGGCAAGCUUGAGUCUCGUAGAGGGGGGUAGAAUUCCAGGUGUAGCGGUGAAAUGCGUAGAGAUCUGGAGGAAUACCGGUGGCGAAGGCGGCCCCCUGGACGAAGACUGACGCUCAGGUGCGAAAGCGUGGGGAGCAAAC